rnacentral:rRNA from 1 species
UCCGGUGGCAUUACCGGCGGUGCAACACCCGUUCCCAUUCCGAACACGGCAGUGAAACCCGCCUGGGCCGAUGGUACUUGUCGCUGAGCCGCGACCGGGAGAGUAGGUCGCUGCCGGAU